UACGUAGGGGGGCGAGCGUUGUCCGGAUUUAUUGGGCGUAAAGAGCGUGUAGGCGGCCAGGUAGGUCUGCUGUGAAAAACUCGAGGCUCAACCUCGAGACGUCGGCGGAAACCAUCUGGCUAGAGUCCGGAAGAGGAGAGUGGAAUUCCUGGUGUAGCGGUGAAAUGCGCAGAUAUCAGGAAGAACACCCGUGGCGAAGGCGGCUCUCUGGGACGGUACUGACGCUGAGACGCGAAAGCGUGGGGAGCGAACAGG
rnacentral:rRNA from 1 species